GUUGAUCCUGCGGGAGAUUGCUGCUAUUAGGAUUCGACUAAGCCAUGCAAGUCCAGGGUCCGUAAGGAACCGGCAAACUGCUCAGUAACACGUCAAUAAUCUAACCUUAGAUUCAGAAUAACCUUGGGAAACUGAGGCUAACUCUGAAUAAGAGAAAAUAAUUGGAACAUUUUUUCUCCAAAACAUUAGGUCUAAGGAUGAGUUGGCGUUCGAUUAGGUUGUUGGUGGUGUAAUGGACCACCAAGCCAAAGAUCGGUAGGGGCUCUGAAAGGAGUAGCCUCGAGAAGGGCACUGAGACACAGGCCCUAGCCCCACGGGGUGCAGCAGGCGCGAAACCUUUACACUGCACGAAAGUGUGAUAAGGGUAUCCUAAGUGCUUUACUUUUGUAAGGCUUUUGCUAAGUUUAAAACGCUUGGCGAAUAAGUGGUGGGCAAGACUGGUGCCAGCCGCCGCGGUAACCCCAGCGCCACAAGUGGCAAUCGUUAUUAUUGGGUCUAAAGCGUCCGUAGCCUGUUUUGCAAGUCUUUUGUGAAAUCAUUGAACUUAACUUAAUGGCGAGCAGGAGAUACUACAAGACUAGGGACAGGGAGGAGUCAGAGGUAUUCCAAGGGGAGCGGUAAGAUGCUAUAAUCCUUGGAGGACCACCGGUGGCGAAGGCGUCUGACUAGAACAGAUCCGACGGUGAGGGACGAAAGCCAGGGGAGCAAUCCGGAUUAGAUACCCGAGUAGUCCUGGCCGUAAACGCUGUGAGCUAGGUGUUGCAUAUUCUCCGUGAAUAUGCAGUGUCGAAGCGAAGGUGAUAAGCUCACCACCUGGGAAGUAUGGUCGCAAGGCUGAAACUUAAAGGAAUUGGCGGGGGAGCACUACAAGGGGUGCGGCGUGCGGUUUAAUCUAACUCGACACAGAGAAUCUCACCAGAGGCGACGGCAGGAUGAAGGUCAGUCUGAAGGGCUUACCCAACGAGCCGAGAGGUAGUGCAUGGCCGUCGUCAGCUCGUGCCGUAAGGUGUCCUGUUAAGUCAGGCAACGAGCGAGACCUGUACCUACAAUUGCUAACGAGCAUUUAUGUGAUCGAGCACAUUGUGGGGACUGCUUCCGAAAGGGAGAGGAAGGUGUAGGCUACGGUAGGUCUGUAUGCUCCGAAUCCUCUGGGCUACACGCGCGCAACAAUGGUAGAGACAAUGGGAUGCAACUCCGAAAGGAGGAGCCAAUCCUCGAAACUCUAUCUUAGUACAGAUUGUGGGCUGUAAUUCGCCCACAUGACGCUGGAAUCCCUAGUAAUCAGAAUUCAACAUAUUCUGGUGAAUAUGUCCCUGCUCCUUGCACACACCGCCCGUCAAACCACCCGAGUAGGGUCCAGAUGAGGUCUUAUUUUUAAUAAGCUCGAAUCUAGGCUUUGCGAGGAGGGUUAAGUCGUCACAAGGUA
rnacentral:rRNA from 1 species